UACGUAGGGGGCUAGCGUUGUUCGGAAUCACUGGGCGUAAAGCGCACGUAGGCGGCUUUUUAAGUCAGGGGUGAAAUCCUGGAGCUCAACUCCAGAACUGCCUUUGAUACUGAGAAGCUUGAGUCCGGGAGAGGUGAGUGGAACUGCGGGUGUAGAGGUGAAAUUCGUAGAUAUUCGCAAGAACACCAGUGGCGAAGGCGGCUCACUGGCCCGGUACUGACGCUGAGGUGCGAAAGCGUGGGGAGCAAACAGG
rnacentral:rRNA from 1 species